UAUAGAGACAAUUAACAAUUAUUCCAAUUUAUUAUUUGUUUCUUGCUACUCCCAAAUGUUAAAAACUUUUUAAUUUUUAAGCUAACCAAGCAAGAAAUUUAUACUUAUAAAUUGUCUAAUUAAGUUUUUGUUUAUUACAUCCAAAGUCGAAAAAUAUGGCUCAAAUUUUUACGCUGUUAAUUAUUCUUUCGCUAUUUCUUGUGUUAAUUAAUGGAUUUGAACCAUGCACAACAAAACGUGAUUGUCCAGGAAAUAUGUGUAUCCCUCCAGUGCUUCCGGAGUGCGCUAGAUCCAUAUGUCAGUGCUUCUAUGGGAGACAUGGGAAAAAUAAACCGUGAUAUGAAAACUAAAUAUAUAAUUAUAUUGUGUAUAAUUUAUACAUCAUUAUCUUAUACAACUAUUGUUAGCUUCAUUGUUAAUAAAAGAUAAAAAAAAAAACAACAAUGUCUCAUCAUGAGUUUUUUUCACAAUUUCAUGGUAUAAUUGGAUCGGUGCAACUUAUUUGGUGAUUUGGAGACUGGAGGCAUUGUUUGUGGCUUCUUCAUGCGUGUUUUAGCUAGGAGUUUUGUUUUUAUUGUAUGUGUAUGUGACACGUUGUAUCUCUUUUAUAUAUAUAUAUAACUUAGACCCUAGUUAGGUCUAAGUUAGCAAGGUGCACCUUUUGAGUUGGA